UACCAGCACCCCGAGUGGUCGGGACGUUUAUUGGGCCUAAAGCAUCCGUAGCCGGUUCUACAAGUCUUCCGUUAAAUCCACCUGCUUAACAGAUAGGCUGCGGAAGAUACUAUAGAGCUAGGAGGCGGGAGAGGCAAGCGGUACUCGAUGGGUAGGGGUAAAAUCCGUUGAUCCAUUGAAGACCACCAGUGGCGAAGGCGGCUUGCCAGAACGCGCUCGACGGUGAGGGAUGAAAGCUGGGGGAGCAAACCGG
rnacentral:rRNA from 1 species